GAUGAACGCUGGCGGCGUGCUUAACACAUGCAAGUCGAACGAAGAUGCCGGAGUGCUUGCACUUUGGCAGACUGAGUGGCGGACGGGUGAGUAACGCGUGGGUAACCUGCCUUAUACAGGGGGAUAACAGUUGGAAACGACUGCUAAUACCGCAUAAGCGCACGGUAUCGCAUGAUACAGUGUGAAAAACUCCGGUGGUAUAAGGAUGGACCCGCGUCUGAUUAGCUAGUUGGUGAGGUAACGGCCCACCAAGGCGACGAUCGGUAGCCGGACUGAGAGGUUGAACGGCCACAUUGGGACUGAGACACGGCCCAGACUCCUACGGGAGGCAGCAGUGGGGAAUAUUGCACAAUGGGGGAAACCCUGAUGCAGCGACGCCGCGUGGAGGAAGAAGGUCUUCGGAUUGUAAACUCCUGUUGUUGAGGAAGAUAAUGACGGUACUCAACAAGGAAGUGACGGCUAACUACGUG
rnacentral:rRNA from 1 species